AAAAAGAAACGAUGGGGUGCAAAAUAAACGACAGUGCCUUACUUAACCCAAAAUAUUAUACUCAUACAUUAUAAGCAAAAAUGUUAUUUAUUAGUAAUCAUUUAUUCAAAUAUUAAAUUAACAGAAAACAUAAAUUUUUUACUUUAUUUAGUUUAAAGUAAAGAACAUUAAAAAAAAAACGAUAGGACGCAAAAUAAACGAUACUGCCUUUCUUACCCAAAAUAUUAUACUCAUACACUACAAAUAAAAUUGUUAUUUAUUACUAAUCAUUUAUUCAAAUAUUCUAUUAAUAUAAAACUUUAAUUGUUCGCUUUAAUAGGUUUGAAGUCAGGAACAUUAAAAAGGAUAUAAUAGGCCCAAAAUAAACGACAGUGCCUUACUUACCCCAAAAUAUUAUACUCAUACAUUAUAAGCAAAAUUGUUUUCAUUAGUAAUCAUUUAUUCA
rnacentral:lncRNA from 1 species